ACCAAAAGACUAGCACAAUUAGAAAUUGCCUGAGAAACUAGCUGUCAAGCAGAAACAUUUAAUAGAGGCCUUUAACACCACUCGACCUUCGCUUAGUGCCUCAGAUGUGGCUAAAUAUCAAAAGACUUAUGCUCGUUUCACCAACAAGGAAAAGGCUUCCCGAGAAUUCGUCUCGAAACGUGCCACUUUGGCGUAGUGUUCUUUUCUUAAGCGGGGUUGUCAAAGAAUCCAAUAAUUGUCAGAAUGUUAUAGACUUUUUGCUCUAUAAUGAAUUGUAUUUUAGAUCGUAGUUAAAGUUUUUUAAUCCAAUUCCGAAAAUUAUUGCAAUCUAUGUCAACUCUCCAAUAAUUUGGGGUUUUUCAAAGUUCGUUAUUUUUUUUUGAAAGGUUUAUCUUCAAUAUUUUUCCUUUAUUUUUCUGUUAUUUGAAAUUUGAAUAAAAAAUGGGUUUAUUUUUGUUAA
rnacentral:lncRNA from 1 species